CCUACGGGUGGCAGCAGUGGGGAAUAUUGCACAAUGGGGGAAACCCUGAUGCAGCGACGCCGCGUGAGUGAAGAAGUAAUUCGUUAUGUAAAGCUCUGUCAGCAGGGAAGAAAAUGACGGUAUCUGAGUAAGAAGCCCCCGCUAACUACGUGCCAGCAGCCGCGGUAAUACGUAGGGGGCAAGCGUUAUCCGGAUUUACUGGGUGGAAAGGGAGCGUAGACGGCAGUGCAAGUCUGGAGUGAAAGGCGGGGGGUCAAACCCCUGACUGCUCUGGAAACUGUACGGCUGGAGUGCAGGAGAGGUAAGUGGAAUUCCUAGUGUAGCGGUGAAAUGCGUAGAUAUUAGGAGGAACACCAGUGGCGAAGGCGGCUUACUGGACUGUAACUGACGUUGAGGCUCGAAAGCGUGGGGAGCAAACAGGAUUAGAUACCCCAGUAGUC
rnacentral:rRNA from 1 species